GACGAACGCUGGCGGCGUGCCUAAUACAUGCAAGUAGAACGCUGAAGGAGGAGCUUGCUUCUCCGGAUGAGUUGCGAACGGGUGAGUAACGCGUAGGUAACCUGCCUGGUAGCGGGGGAUAACUAUUGGAAACGAUAGCUAAUACCGCAUAAGAGUAGAUGUCGCAUGACAUUUGCUUAAAAGGUGCAACUGCACCACUACCAGAUGGACCUGCGUUGUAUUAGCUAGUUGGUGAGGUAACGGCUCACCAAGGCAACGAUACAUAGCCGACCUGAGAGGGUGAUCGGCCACACUGGGACUGAGACACGGCCCAGACUCCUACGGGAGGCAGCAGUAGGGAAUCUUCGGCAAUGGACGGAAGUCUGACCGAGCAACGCCGCGUGAGUGAAGAAGGUUUUCGGAUCGUAAAGCUCUGUUGUAAGAGAAGAACGAGUGUGAGAGUGGAAAGUUCACACUAUGACGGUAUCUUACCAGAAAGGGACGGCUAACUACGUG
rnacentral:rRNA from 1 species